rnacentral:rRNA from 1 species
ACGUAUGGAGCAAGCGUUAUCCGGAUUUACUGGGUGUAAAGGGAGUGUAGGUGGCCAUGCAAGUCAGAAGUGAAAAUCCGGGGCUCAACCCCGGAACUGCUUUUGAAACUGUAAGGCUAGAGUGCAGGAGGGGUGAGUGGAAUUCCUAGUGUAGCGGUGAAAUGCGUAGAUAUUAGGAGGAACACCAGUGGCGAAGGCGGCUCACUGGACUGUAACUGACACUGAGGCUCGAAAGCGUGGGGAGCAAACAG